rnacentral:lncRNA from 1 species
UGUGUAUUAGGGACAAUACGUCCGACACCGGAGUUGUUUUUAGAUUGAUGUUCAUUUCACUGACAAUGCGCGCGGUGUUAUGGAGAAAAUGACCAAUUUGACUAAACACAUUGAAGUUAAUCACCAAUCAUCAACUAAGUUGCAUGAAAUCUCAAUGGCUAAUACUCAAACAACUGAACCAAACACACUAUAACAAGCAAACAAAAAAAAAGAUCGUAAAACCAAAAGCCAUACCCACGUUCAGUUCAGGAUUCUCAUCAUUGAUCACAUCACAUGCUAUAUGUUAUCAAUAAUAAAACUUCAAAAUCUGUGUCUUAUCAUUAAUACAUCUAGUGGGCCUAAGAACAUCUCCAAAAUAAACUCUAUAACUUCAAAUAUAGAGUUUUCUCCUCUCCAAAAGAUAACUUCAAAUUUAGAGUUUUGAAAAAUGAAACUUCAAAUUUUCUUC